AUGUCUUGAGAAGGAGCUCCCAGUAUAUAACAGAGAAGCGACUAAGCUCCGUAAUGAUGAUCAAGGAAGAUGCUUGUAUCAAAUCUCUCUGGGAUCAGAGAUAGGAAAAUUACUGAACUGUUUAAGGACUUAAAGAAGAGGGGACCAGAUUGCUUGCUUGUUUACUUUGUAUCUUUGUAAGUUUAUUUGUAACUACUGUUCUGCAGUUAAGCUUUGAAACUCAUUCUUUGUGGUGGAGCGCAAAUUCUUGUCAAUCCUACACAAGGUCUAAGUCAGGGAUUCUGCUUGCAGCAACUCCUCUCAUCCCUACUCUGCACUGCGUACCAGGGAUGGAUCUCUGUGCACCUAUUUCAAGAAAAAGGGGAUCAGCAACAUCACAUGGGGAAACAAAAUCAACAAGAUUGUCACUGGAUCAUUUCAUGCCUAUACAGUUUCAGCAGGAACUCUAUUGCCAAUGCAGAAGCCCACUGAGCAAACUAUGGAAAGGAACUAGCAGCAUCAGCAUGACUGCAAAGCAGGAUUAAGACCAAUGGAAGAGCUGCACCAGAAGAGUGAAUAACAAAGCUUGCUCUCCAUCACAAUAAAUCAUCUAAAACUCAGGCAAGGAGGGAAAAAACAAAGAAAAAAUAUUCUUAUGGCAUUUAGAAGACUAAAACUCUUUAACUGUUUUUAAUUGUCCUUUUUAACUGGCUUGUUUUACUGUACAUUUUAAUUAAGGGUGUUUAAAUGCUUUGGUGGAAUUGUUAUUGUGUGCAGAUUGUACUUUAAGAACAACAAUUUAAAAUGUUUAUUUGGAAAAUGCAGCAAAUUUUCCCCAAUUAAACUAAAUUAAACAUAA